GUUGAUCCUGCGGGAGGUUGCUGCUAGAGGGAUUCGACUAAGCCAUGCAAGUCUUCUCGUAAGAGAGGCGACAUGCUCAGUAACACGUCAUUAACGUACCCUUUGGUCGGAGAUACCCACGGGAAACUGUGGUUAAUACCCGAUAGGAGCUCAAAUCUGGAAACGAUCGAACUCUGAAACUCGUGCCAAAGGAUCGGAUGGCGGCGGAUUAGGUAGUUGGCGGUGUAACGGACCACCAAGCCGACGAUCCGUACGGGCCUUGAGAGAGGUAGCCCGGAGAGGGACACUGAGAUACUGGUCCCAGCCCUACGGGGUGCAGCAGGCGCGUAACCUUUACAAUGCACGCAAGUGUGAUAAGGGGAUCCCUCGUGCUCAUGCAUUGCAUGGGCUUUUGCUAAGUGUAAAUAGCUUGGCGAAUAAGUGGUGGGUAAGACUGGUGCCAGCCGCCGCGGUAACACCAGCGCCACGAGUGGCAACCACGAUUAUUGGGCCUAAAGCGUCCGUAGCCCGUUUGGUAAAUCCUCUGUGAAAUUGUCCGGCUUAACCGGCCAACGUGCAGGGGAGACUGCCAGACUUGGGACCGGGAGGAGUCAGAAGUAUUCCAGGGGGAGCGGUAAAAUGUUAUAAUCCCUGGAGGACUACCUGUGGCGAAGGCGUCUGACUAGAACGGAUCCGACGGUGAGGGGCGAAAGCCAGGGGAGCGAACCGGAUUAGAUACCCGAGUAGUCCUGGCCGUAAACGCUGUGAGCUAGGUGUUGCGUUAACCACGUGUUGACGCAGUGUCGAAAUGAAGAUGUUAAGCUCACCGCCUGGGAAGUACGGUCGCAAGACUGAAACUUUAAGGAAUUGGCGGGGGAGCACCACAAGGGGUGCGGCGUGCGGUUUAAUCUAACUCAACGCAGAAAACCUUACUAGAAGCGAUGGCAGGAUGAAGGUCAACUUGAAGAGUUUACCUGACGGGCCCAGAGGUGGUGCAUGGCCGCCGUCAGCUCGUGCUGUGAAGUGUCCAGCUAAGCCUGGCAACGAGCGAGACCUGUAUCUGCAAUUGCUACCGGCCACAUGUGGGACCGAGCACUUUGCAGAGACUGCCCGGGAAACCGGGAGGAAGGUGCAGGCUACGGUAGGUCUGUAUGCCCCGAAUCUUCUAGGCUACACGCGCGCAACAAUGGUUGGGACAAUGGGAUGCCACUCCGAAAGGAGAAGCUAAACCUCAAAACCCAAUCUAAGUCCAGAUUGAGGCUUGCAACUCAGCCUCAUGACGACGGAAUCCCUAGUAAUCAGAAGUCAUCAUCUUCUGGUGAAUAUGUCCCUGCUCCUUGCACACACCGCCCGUCAAAUCAACCGAGCAGGGUCUAGGUAAAACUUAGUUUUUUGAUUAAGCUGAAUCUAGGCUCAGUGAGGUGGGUUAAGUCGUCACAAGGUA
rnacentral:rRNA from 1 species